UUUAUGAGGCCUUUCCCUCUAUGUAAAAAUUUAUGAGGUGUGUAAAAGAAUAACCUUCAUCCUCUCUUCUCUCUCUAAACAGAUAUUCAGUCAAUAAUUGCCGAAAAAAUUGUAAGUAAAAGAAACCCAAAAAGAAAAACCCAAACUUUCCCUCUCUCUCCUCUGUUUCGGACCCCCCCGUCGGCUACCAUAGGCGACGAUUGCCGCUCGCCGGCCAUCCGUCGCACCUCCCCCUGCCCUCGCCGUCGUUCGUCGGCCACCUGCGCAACUCGCCGGAUAUCCACGCCAGCAGCUUCGUUCUCUCUCUCCUCCUCGCGCACUCUCUCUCCUCCUCGCGCUCUCUCUCGUCGCUCCUCUUUGCGCGUUGCUGCUCGGGUUUUCCGCCGCCGCCGGAGCUUCGAGGACCGCCGCCGAUCUUCCCUGCUGUCGCCGCACCUUCGCCGGAGCUCGCCGAGGGCUGCUGCCGUCCCUGCUCCAAGAGAGCAGAGGUACCGAUGGUGAUAACGGGAUGGCGUAGCAGUGAGGAUUUAUCUAAUAUCUAGAUUAUAUAGACUCUCAUGGUUUUUAAUUAUAUUUAUGUCAAAACUCUGACUAGUAACUAAGUUUCUUUUAAUCAAGACUAAUGUUGGAUCUAUAUUAUGCUUUAUGUUAUAAAGUGUUUAAGUUUAUGAUUUUA